rnacentral:tRNA from 1 species
GUAUUGGUGGUUCAGUAGCAGAAUUCUCACCUUCCGUGUGAGAGGCCUGGGUUUGAUUCCUGGCCAACGCA